UGCAGGACUGUGCUGCUGGCUACACUCGCACCGGAGGUGGCCUGUACCUCGGGCACUGCGAGCUGUGUGAGUGCAAUGGCCACUCGGACUCCUGCCACCCGGAGACGGGGGCCUGCUCGAACUGCUUACACAACGCGGCCGGGGAGUUCUGCGACCAGUGUGCCCCUGGCUACUAUGGUGACGCCACCGCCGGGACCCCCGAGGACUGCCAGCCUUGUGCCUGCCCACUCUCUGAGCCUGAGAACCAGUUCUCGCGGACGUGUGAGAGCCUGGGGGCGGGCGGCUAUCGCUGCUCAGCCUGCGAGCCCGGCUACACCGGCCAGUACUGCGAGCA